AGGGUUGGGCUGGAGAUAGGAAUGCUGGAUUCAGCUGCAGAUGGAUGGCAAUUACAGCCAGACGGUUUUACAUCCAGCACUGGCCUAGACUGCAGCUGUGUUCUUUGGGCAACUCACUUAACCUAUGACUAUUUGCUCUGCUGAAAAUACACAUCCUACCUGAAACAAUGAGGACAAAGGGGCCAUCAAUGUGAAAAUGCCUUGUAAAGUGUAACGCGCUGUUCGGACUGGAAAGCAGCAUAAAUUUGAUAGUACUGGAGAUGAAGGAAAUCGGUUUGGAGACCUAGGGAAAUAAUUUUCAUUCGCCGAGAAUUAGAGACACUACGAAAUAAAAGAAUGGGCAAGUAGCAAUUAUCCUUUUUGUACUGCGUAAUCAAUCUGUGUAAAAUUAAUAUUUUUAAAUUUACAUAGCACCCACCAUUUACCUAGAGCUUCACAUACACGAUCUCUUCGAGCUACACAACAGGCUUGUGAGGACGGAAUUAUUAUCGUCCCCAUUUUACGGAGGAGGAAAGUGAGCUGAGAGGGAGUGAGUAGCUGGCCUGCGGGGACAGCAAUAGUGAGGGACAGAGCCAUACAAGCGUCCAGAUGUCCUGGUUCCGAUCCAACCUAAAUAUGAACGAAGCAUUCCUCAGCCCCACCGUCCAGCUCGAAGACAGAAAGCCACAGCAGAGCCGCGCCAGCUCCAGGCCCUGUCAGUCUUCCUCGCACCCUCUACCCCCCACGUUCCAUUUCCGAUGGUACAGCCCCUUUCUCCUAUCGCGAGACUGAAGCGUUGUGUUUCUGGUUGCCAGGGGAACAGGGUUCCCAGAGGCAGGAGGAGGGCUUGGAACCAGCAGUUUCUUCCACCUCCAGAGACGCUCCGGUGGCGGGAAAGACCCUUCCCUUUGGGGAGAAGUGGGUGACGCCGCGACUGUCAGCGGCGCGCUUCUGCGCCCGUCAGAGCUCCGACGACUGGCCGCUAGCCGGGAAGGUGAGGGACAGCACAGGAUGUCAAUGGAUAUUAUAAAGGGAAACCUAGAUGGAAUUUCAAAACCAGCCUCAAAUUCAAGAACACGUCCUGGGAGCAGUAGUUCAAAUGCUUCUUUGGAGGUGCUCUCACCAGAACCAGGGUCUUUCAAGGUUGAUACUGCAAGCAAGUUAAACUCUGAUAAAGACGACCACUCAGACAGCACUAAUACAGAGGAGAGAAGAAAUAGUAAUGACAAUAAAUGGAAAAAUUACUCUGAGAAAAUAAAAUUGGCCAAAGAGAGGUCAGAUGAACAUCUGGAUUUUGUUCAACAUCAGAUAAUCCUUGAGUGUUCAGAUGAACCCAAAUUAAAAGAAUUAGAUUCUCAGCUUCAAGAUGCUAUUCAGAAGAUGAAGAGACUUGAUAAAAUAUUAGUGAAGAAACAAGAUAGAGAAAAAGAAAUUAAGAAGCAAGGGCUAGAAAUGAGAAUAAAGCUGUGGGAAGAACUUAAGUCUGCAAAAAAUAGAGAGGCUUUGCAAAGUAAUGAGGAGAUGGAAAAUACAAAAAAAUUUUUAUCUUUGACUACUGAAUCUGAAGAAACUGUUGAUCCUUCUUGUUAUGAGGAUGAAGACACUGUUUUCUCAGUGUUUCACACUCAAGUCUUUCCCGAAGUAUACGAGAACCAGAUGGAGAAUGUCAAUCAAGAUUUUACCUAUGAUGUGGAAAGAAAUGAGUCAUUGAUCAAGGCAGAAAAGAAAUCUUUCUCAAAUACAGAAAAGAUUGAGCUCAGGGGUAAACACAACCAGGAUUUUAUUAAGCGAAACAUUGAGUUGGCCAAGAAUUCAAGAAACCCAGUGGUUAUGAUUGACAGCGAGAAGAAAAGGCUGGUUGAGCUUUUGAAGGACUUGGAUGAUCGAGGUUCGGGGAUGUCCAGUUCCGAGGGUGAUCAGUCUGGAUGGCUGGUUCCAGGAGAAGGGUACACACUUGCAGUCACCCAGCAUCAGCAGCUUGAUGAAAUCAAUUUAAAACUCCAAGAACUGUCUGCAGCCUCUCCGAUAAUUUCCAGCUUUUCUCCAAUACUUGAAAAUCAGAAUGAUCAGGAGCCCGAACUUGAUGAUGAAAGAACCGUGGAAAUAACUCCAGGAGAAAAGGUACUUAGGAACACCAAAGAGCAACGGCAUCAGCAAAAUCGGCUGAGAGAGAUAGAUGAAAAGCUGAGAAAGAUGAAGGAAAAUGUGUUAGAUUCCACAUCGCUGCUCUCUGAGGAACAGUUAAAGUGUCUUCUGGAUGAAUGCACAUUCAAACAAAAAUCCAUCAUUAGACUUUCUUCAGAAAGAGGAACCAAAGACAUUGAGGAUGUAACACCCGCAUUCCACCAGCUCUCCGGAUCCAUCAUCUCUGAGUCACUAAAUGGGUCAGAAACUGAGGUCCAGAAGACUGAGGUGGAAGACGCUCCUAUGCUUGACAGUGCAGGAUGUGAAGCUUCUAAAGGCUACUAUCUCACUAAAGCCUUGACGGGGCAUUCCAUGUCAAAAGCUCUUGUCACUGAAGCAGAGAAUAUGACAUGCUCCCAAUUUUCCAAGGAUGAGGUUGUUAGUGACACAAAAGACUAUUUUAUGUCGAAAACUCUUGGCAUUGGGAGACUGAAAAGGCCCUCUUUCUUGGAUGAUCCACUGUAUGAUAUCAAUGAGAGCCUUUUAUCAGAAGACCAGCAUCUGAAACUCAGCCCUCCAGAGAACCCAAAAACAGGUGAGGGUUGGAGAACACAUGUUUUGAUGAAUAACUCUUAGAAGCAGCUCAAUAUAAAGAUAGUAUGGUUUAAAGUAGAGUAGCAUCAGAAGAUGAACAGGAAGGCUGAAGACACAACAGAAGAAUGUGAAGAAUCCUAAGUAAGGAAUUGCUGGGGUGUGCUUUGGAGAAAGUUGGUAAUCCAGUUACAUUACAUUAUUGGCGAAUCUUUUGAAUUCAAUGAAUGCAUUGUGAGACUAUUCGACUAUUAUAUUUUAUAUUAAAUAUAAAAUAUAAUUUUAUAUUUAUACACAUGUACACAUACACACUCUCUCAAAUAUGAUUUUGACAUUUGGAUUCUCCUGUUGUGGUUUACAUUUCUUUGAUAUUUUUGAGACUUGGGGUGUAAUUGUUCAGUAGUUUUUCUUCAUUGAAAUUGCUGGGAAAAUUUUUUAUAAAUUUAUUGCUAAUCUUGCAAUAUCAGGCAUACAUUAUAAAAAUUAACAUUUCAAUGUAUAUGUAUUAUGGUGAAACUAGCCAGAAUGCUAUGAUAUGUUUCAACUUUAUUGUGAUUCAUACAGAUUGUGAUCACUAUGAAUUUUUGCUGUGGCCCUGCUUUUCCUUUUUGUCACCUGUCUAAUGUCUGUUAAAUAGGUACAGCUUGCCUUAGGAAAAGGUGAAUUUCCUCAGCAAAGCAAUGUGAGGAGAGCCUUUGUUAUCUUAUUAGCAAUGAUGCUUUUCUUAAGUAGGAGUUUAACUGAAUUAUUUGAUGUAUUAUUUUCAGUUUGCUAUUUUCUUUCAGAGUUUGGGCCUUUUAGAAUGCAGCAAAUAAAGAUGAAUACCUUUAAAAAAAAGAGUCUGUGAUAAUAUUUUAAGAGAGAAGGUUGGUCUAGUUACAGGUCAGUAACCUAGAUUCAGAGAAAAUUUUAUGUUGACACCCCAUAAGAUGAAUUGGCAUUAGUCCUGGAAUUCCAAUUUUUUUUUUGAUUCAAAAAAUGAGUUGGCUGUUGUGCUGCUUUUAAUAAAAUUUGCUGGCACAUGUUCCUCUACUGAUAUCGAAUAACAUUAGUAAUUGCUUACAUCAAAUUUCCUUGACUUUUUUUUUUCCAGAGACAGAGUCUAGUUUUGUCACUCUUGGCUGCAGUGCAGUGGCAGGAUCAUAGCUCACUGUAACCUCAAACUCCUGGGCUCAAGCGAUCCUCUUGUC